AACAGUGAGGGUUAUUGGUAAGAGGAGAGCCCGUGUCAUUCCUCACUAUAAUGCUUUCUCUCUGCUUUGGAUGUACCGAUAAUUGCAGUUCAGGGUUCCUGGAACUUCUACCAGUGCCACUCUGACAGGCCUCACCAGAGGUGCCACCUACAACAUCAUAGUGGAGGCACUGAAAGACCAGCAGAGGCAUAAGGUUCGGGAAGAGGUUGUUACCGUGGGCAACUCUGUCAACGAAGGCUUGAACCAACCUACGGAUGACUCGUGCUUUGACCCCUACACAGUUUCCCAUUAUGCCGUUGGAGAUGAGUGGGAACGAAUGUCUGAAUCAGGCUUUAAACUGUUGUGCCAGUGCUUAGGCUUUGGAAGUGGUCAUUUCAGAUGUGAUUCAUCUAGUGAGUAGCUGCUUUGUCCAUCCACUUGCGUGUUCGUCUCAAGUUCCAUGCAUGCACUCAUGUGCCAAGGAAGCAUGUUUGGAAGACACAGGUUCUUCCAAACAUGAAGCAAACAAGGGAAUACUGUUUGACUCGAAGUAAUAUUUUGCAUCAUAGAAAAAUGAUGGGAAAUUUUACUUGU
rnacentral:sRNA from 1 species